AGCGAACGCUGGCGGCAGGCCUAACACAUGCAAGUCGAACGAACCUUUCGGGGUUAGUGGCGGACGGGUGAGUAACACGUGGGAACGUGCCUUUAGGUUCGGAAUAACUCAGGGAAACUUGUGCUAAUACCGAAUGUGCCCUUCGGGGGAAAGAUCUAUCGCCUUUAGAGCGGCCCGCGUCUGAUUAGCUAGUUGGUUGAGGUAAUGGCUCACCAAGGCGACGAUCAGUAGCUGGUCUGAGAGGAUGAUCAGCCACAUUGGGACUGAGACACGGCCCAAACUCCUACGGGAGGCAGCAGUGGGGAAUCUUGCGCAAUGGGCGAAAGCCUGACGCAGCCAUGCCGCGUGAAUGAUGAAGGUCUUAGGAUUGUAAAAUUCUUUCACCGGGGACGAUAAUGACGGUACCCGGAGAAGAAGCCCCGGCUAACUUCGU
rnacentral:rRNA from 1 species